UAAAAAAAGAGAAGCAGUGAGUGUUUCGUCUUCUGUUUCUUCGUCGUCGUUUUGUAUGAAGGAGAGGGUUUUUCUAUUCCUCGAUUUGUACUUCUUCUCCUUCGCCGUUUUUGUUUUUCUUCUUUCCAAUGGUGUUUUGUUUUUCUUCGAUCUACCAGAAUCAAUGUGUUUAUGCUCAAUUUCUUUUUCGCCAAAUCGAAGAAGAUGGGUUUCUUUCUUCUGGUGCUUGAAAUUUGCAAUUUGCUGGUUGUCUUUGUUGGAUUCAUCAUGAUUUUGUAGUAUGUUAUAUUGGGGAAUACUUCUUGUGCUUUAAAUUUGCAAUUUGUUUUUUUUUUGUUUGUUGGAUUCAUGAAGAUUCUGUAGUGUGUUAUAUUGGGGAUUUCAUUGAAUUGAAUCUUGGUUCUUCACCUCCGGUUCUUAUUGGUCAUUGUUCAAAACUACUUGGUUAAUAUUGUAAGCAAUCAGUCAUUAGAUAAGGCUCGGAUCAUUGAAAUGAGUUGGGCUUUUUCAGAUGAGCUGUUAGUGAGUCCUGCUUUUAGUGUUGUUGAGUCCUGCUUUGUUCUGACAGUUCCAUGAAUCUCCCAUCGUUUGGAUUAGACUAUAGAGCGUUUGUUGUCAUGCGUUUUGUUCCUUGGAGAUUUAACAUAAGUUUUCAUGCUUCAAUUACCAUAAUUCUAUGCUUAUAUGUCUUUUUAUUUUGGGGAUUAAGGAAGAUUUAUAGGCUGUGAAUUUGAUUUGGUUUCUAAAUUAUAAGCUAUGUUUAUAUGUCUUUUUAUUUUUGGGAUUAAGGAAGAUUUACACAGGCUGUGAAUUUUAUUUGGAUUUUAUUUGCUUUCUGACAUUAAAGAGAACUAAGAUUGAAGAGCCAAAACAGAAAGUUGAGGAACUAUGUGAAUCAAAAGUGCAAUAAUCCGCCACGACCUCACAAGCUUGUCUUCUUCUUUGGAAACAACUCAAGAGGAGAGGCAAAUCCAAAAUAGAUAAUCCACCAUUGGUGUUUGUACAUGGAAGCUACCACGCAGGGUGAAAGUGAUGAACCUUUGGGAACAGUUGCUGGAACACUUCAGUAGACGCACAGAAAUGAUAAUGCAGAUUUCAUGGAAUUGAAUCUUGGUUCUUCACCUCCAGUUCUUAUUGGUCAUUCUUUUAAAGGACUCAUUGUUCAACAAUACUUGGCAAAUAUUGUAAACAAACAGUCAUUAGGUUUGGUGUAAACUCAUAGAAAUGAGUUGUGUUUUUCGGAUCAGCCGUUAUAAUUUCUAUACAAUAACUACUGAGUUUGUUCUUUCGAUUGUAGGAUCAGAAAAUGCAUUCCCAGAACUUUCAAGGGCUGUAUAGGUUUGCUCGGCUACACCUUGGAAAGAGAGUGAUUUCCUUUAGCAAAGAACAAGAAACACUUAUUAAGAAGCUAUAAAGAAGUUCAAGGACCAAUACUGAAAGAAAGAACCUUUGGCUUCAAGCUUUAGAUACUUGAUCAGUGACUUCUCCUUUUGGAUAAUUUGUUUACUUUAUAAUGUUUAAGCUUUAGAUACUUGAUUGAAAAUGAAUCUAUACUAUAUAAGCUAAUUUAUAAGUUGUUAGAGAUUGAAACACCAAAAAAUCUUAGUUUGAAAUAUAAGUCAUCUUAAAUUUGAGAUUUCUUUAUU